UACGUAGGGUGCGAGCGUUAAUCGGAAUUACUGGGCGUAAAGGGUGCGCAGGCGGUUAUAUAAGACAGAUGUGAAAUCCCCGGGCUCAACCUGGGAAUUGCAUUCGAGACUGCGUAGCUAGGGUGCGGAAGAGGGAAGCGGAAUUUCCGGUGUAGCGGUGAAAUGCGUAGAUAUCGGAAGGAACACCAGUGGCGAAAGCGGCUUCCUGGUCCAGCACCGACGUCAGGCACGAAAGCGUGGGGAGCAAACAGG
rnacentral:rRNA from 1 species